ensembl:lncRNA
GUUAUUUCUUGUCAGAGCAAUCUCAUAAAAUGAAAACUACAGUAUCUAGUUCAAAUUAUGUUCAAAAUGUAAUAUUAAAUGACAUAAUUUUCUACUAAAUGGUUACUAAAUAAACCAUAAGUACCUUAAAAUUUUAUCAUUCACAAAAGAGCAAAAUGUAUUAUUUUUAAUUUAAUAAAUGUUAUGAUUUUCUAUCAUAAACUAUUAUUAUGUAAUAGAUGUUAAUAUCUCCAAAAGGGCAAGCAUGAGAAACAAUACCCAAGGAAACUGUUAAUCUAAGAGCUGCUGUUCAACCAAGUGCUUCCCAAAUUGCCCAGCUAGUAUGUGACAUUUCUUUCUUCCAGGAAAUGUAUUUAUGUAGACAUCCAACCAGAAUGAAGACCUGUAAGAAGUUCCAUGGAAGAACUGCAGAACUGAAAAGGAGUAUAACCUACAAAUUCUUAUUGACUAGAAGUCUGUGAGAUAAUCAGAAGAUAUGGCUCUGCAUCAUAUGUAUGUACAGAAAAGUUGCCAAACCCUCUCUUGUGCUGCAUAAAACCCUUGCAUUCCAGACUUGAAACUUCAGUUCCUGAGUGUGUCAUCCAAACCUGGAAAAGAAAUGUAAGCAUAGUGACAGCUGCAACUGCACAAUCUACAAGUUUCACAGCACACUUCAAAAAUCAAAAAACUAAACUUUUC